rnacentral:rRNA from 1 species
AUUGACCUCGGAUCAGGUNCGGAUACCCGCUNAACUUAAUCAUAUAAAUAAUCGAGGAAA